CAGCCGCCGCGGUAACACGAAGGGUGCAAGCGUUACUCGGAAUUACUGGGCGUAAAGCGUGCGUAGGUGGUGGUUUAAGUCCGUUGUGAAAGCCCUGGGCUCAACCUGGGAAUUGCAGUGGAUACUGGGUCACUAGAGUGUGGUAGAGGAUAGUGGAAUUUCCGGUGUAGCAGUGAAAUGCGUAGAGAUCGGAAGGAACAUCUGUGGCGAAGGCGACUAUCUGGGCCAACACUGACACUGAGGCACGAAAGCGUGGGGAGCAAACAGGAUUAGAUACCCCGGUAGUCCCUGUCUCUUAUAC
rnacentral:rRNA from 1 species